CCUACGGGAGGCAGCAGUGGGGAAUAUUGCUCAAUGGGGGAAACCCUGAUGCAGCAACGCCGCGUGAGUGAUGACGGUUUUCGGGUUGUAAACUCCUGUUUUCAGGGACGAUAAUGACGGUAUCUAACGAAGAAGCCACGGCUAACUCCGUGCCAGCAGCCGCGGUAAUACGUAGGUGGCGAGCGUUAUCCGGAUUCAUUGGGGUUAAAGGGGGCGUAGGCGGAGUGUAAAGUCAAUGGUAAAAUCGAUGGGCUUAACCCUUUCCCGCCAUUGAAACUGGCUCUAUUGAGUGGAAGAGAGGUAUGUGGAAUGCUUGGUGUAGGGGUGAAAUCCAUAGAGAUCAAGCGGAAUCCUGAUUGCGAAGGCGACAUGCCGGAACCCAACUGACGCUGAUGCGCGAAAGCGUGGGGAGUAAACAGGAUUAGAUACCCGAGUAGUC
rnacentral:rRNA from 1 species